rnacentral:rRNA from 1 species
UGGGGAAUAUUGGACAAUGGAGGAAACUCUGAUCCAGCAAUUCUGUGUGUGUGAAGAAGGUUUUAGGACUGUAAAACACUUUUAGUAGGGAAGAAAAAAAUGACGGUACCUACAGAAGAAGCAACGGCUAAAUACGUGCCAGCAGCCGCGGUAAUACGUAUGUUGCGAGCGUUAUCCGGAAUUAUUGGGCUUAAAGGGCAUCUAGGCGGUAAGACAAGUUGAAGGUGAAAACCUGUGGCUCAACCAUAGGCUUGCCUACAAAACUGUUGAACUAGAGUACUGGAAAGGUGGGUGGAACUACACGAGUAGAGAUGAAAUUCGUAGAUAUGUGUAGGAAUGCCGAUGAUGAAGAUAACUCACUGGACAGAAACUGACGCUGAAGUGCGAAAGCUAGGGGAGCAAACAGG